rnacentral:Y_RNA from 1 species
GACUGGUCAGAGUGCAGUGGUGUUUACAGUGAGUUGAUCACAACGAGUUAUAACUUUCAUUGUUCCUUCCCCACUCCCACUGACUGUUCCACUUGACUUGUCUUAA